AAAGAAGACCCUGUUGAGCUUGACUCUAGUCUGACUCUGUGAAGAGACAUGAAAGGUGUAGCAUAGGUGGGAGAUUGUCAAAUUGCCAUCGUUCGCGCGGUGGUCCGGUGAUCGCCAAUGAAAUACCACUACUUUGAUCGUUUCUUUACUUAUUCGGUAAAGCGAAAAAAUUGUGGCCAAUUUGGCGGUGUUUAUGUCGCUGUUGGUCAUUGUUUUCAUGUUAGAUUGAAGCUUUGUUUACAGCCGUCGCUUUGUGUCGCCAUUUGACGCAUUGUUGUACUGGGUUAUCCCGGUGUGUGGUGUAGUCAGUAUGGAUGAUCGGCGAUAGGUUUGAAGUGAUUCGCUCCGGAAACAGUGUCAGACGGGGAGUUUGACUGGGGCGGUACAUCUGUUAAACGAUAACGCAGGUGUCCUAAGGUAAGCUCAGCGAGGACAGAAACCUCGCUUAGAGUAAACGGGCACAAGCUUACUUGAUUUUGAUUUCCAGUACGAAUAGAAACCGCGAAAGCGUGGCCUAUCGAUCCUUUUGAUUGUGUAGAUUUCAUGCAAGAGGUGUCAGAAAAGUUACCACAGGGAUAACUGGCUUGUGGCAGCCAAGCGUCCAUAGCGACGUUGCUUUUUGAUCCUUCGAUGUCGGCUCUUCCUAUCAUUGCGAAGCAGAAUUCGCCAAGCGUUGGAUUGUUCACCCACCAAUAGGGAACGUGAGCUGGGUUUAGACCGUCGUGAGNUACUAACCAUUAU
rnacentral:ncRNA from 1 species